AGUGGCGCACGGGUGAGUAACGCGUGGGUAAUCUACCUCCGAAUUGGGGAUAACAUUGCGAAAGCGGUGCUAAUACCGAAUGACAUCACCGAGACUACGGCCUGGGUGAUCAAAGGUGGCCUCUACAUGUAAGCUAUUGUUUGGAGAUGAGCCCGCGUACCAUUAGCUAGUUGGUAGGGUAAUGGCCUACCAAGGCUACGAUGGUUAGCUGGUCUGAGAGGAUGAUCAGCCACACUGGAACUGACACACGGUUCAGACUCCUACGGGAGGCAGCAGUGAGGAAUUUUGCGCAAUGGGGGAAACCCUGACGCAGCAACGCCGCGUGAGUGAUGAAGGCUUUCGGGUCGUAAAGCUCUGUCAAGUGGGAAGAACCUGCUUUAUGAUAAUACCAUGAAGCACUGACGGUACCACUGAAGGAAGCACCGGCUAACUCCGUGCCAGCAGCCGCGGUAAUACGGGGGGUGCUAGCGUUAUUCGGAAUCAUUGGGCGUAAAGGGCGCGUAGGCGGUCUCUUAAGUCAGAUGUGAAAGCCCUCGGCUUAACCGAGGAAGUGCACUUGAUACUAAGUGACUUGAGUAUGGGAGAGGGAAGCGGAAUUCCUGGUGUAGCGGUGAAAUGCGUAGAUAUAUGGAGGAACACCGGUGGCGAAGGCGGCUUCCUGGACCAAUACUGACGCUGAGGCGCGAAGGCGUGGGGAGCAAACAGGAUUAGAUACCCCGGUAGUCCACGCAGUAAACGGUGAACACUAGGUGUAGCGGGUAUUGACCCUCGCUGUGCCGAAGCUAACGCCAUUAA
rnacentral:rRNA from 1 species